UACAGAGCGGGGAUGGCAGCCAGAACCAUUCCUCUGCCUCUGCCACGUGGGAGCUCCUUCCCAACUGCUCUUGCAGUUGUAUUCCAAAGCAGCAAGCAACCUCCUCAGCCGGUACCUUUUGUCCUCUAGUUUUUAAAGAGACCGUCAUUCCUCUGACAAAGUACAGAUUUUUACCCUACACAUAUGAAUAAACAAGCACGACGUUUCUCUUGGGGCAGCGACACUUGUUAAAUGAAUCAGAAAGCCCUGAAAAGAUCGCCUACCCCCAGCCCAUCAGCUACUGGACAAUUAUUCAAGGCCCAGCUGUAAGAAAAACAGAUGGAACCCAGGAGAAGUGAAUGCCAGUCAGCGAUCACAAGGAGCAACAAGCACAGCAUUCUGAACCCGGCACAAUUAUCAGCAGGAAUUCAGGUGAAUUCCUAACAUGUCUAAUUGUGAUUAGUACAGGCUGAAUGUUUCUAAACCAACAAUGGGAUUAAGCAGACCAGAAAGCCAGCACUUAAAUAAAAAAAAAUA